GAUGAACGCUGACAGAAUGCUUAACACAUGCAAGUCUACUUGAUUCUACUUCGGUAGUCGAUGGUGGCGGACGGGUGAGUAACGCGUAAAGAAUCUGCCCUUUAGUUUGGGAUAACCUUUGGAAACGAAGGCUAAUACCGGAGAUUAUGGAGACGUCGCAUGGCGACUCCAUGAAAGUUAUAUGCGCUGUAGGAGGACUAUGCGUCCCAUUAGUUAGUGGGUGAGGUAAUGGCUCACCAAGACCGCGAUGGGUAGCCGGACUGAGAGGGUGAUCGGCCGUAAGGGAACCGAGACACACAGCUUACUCCUACGGGGCGCAGCAGUGGGGAAUAUUGGACAAUGGGCCACAGGCCUGAGCCAGCAAUUCUGGAUGUACGAUGAAGGGCUUCGGAUUGUAAAGUGCUUUCUGUAGGGAAGAAAAAAAUGACGGUACCUACAGAAGAAGCGACGGCUAAAUAUGUGCCAGCCGCCGCAGUAA
rnacentral:rRNA from 1 species